CGAGGGAUCAGACCCGAAACCGAGUGAUCUAGGCAUGUCCAGGAUGAAGGUAAGGUAACACUUACUGGAGGUCCGAACCCACAUCUGUUGAAAAAGAUCGGGAUGAGGUGUGCCUAGGGGUGAAAGGCCAAUCAAACUCGGAGAUAGCUGGUUCUCUGCGAAAUCUAUUUAGGUAGAGCGUCGUCUGAAUACCCUCGGGGGUAGAGCACUGAAUGGGUAAUGGGGGCCCACAGCCUUACUGAUCCUAAUCAAACUCCGAAUACCGAGGAGUACUAGACGGCAGACACACAGCGGGUGCUAACGUCCGUCGUGGAGAGGGAAACAACCCUGACCUACAGCUAAGGCCCCUAAUUCAUGGCUAAGUGGGAAAGCAGGUGGGACGACCAAAACAACCAGGAUGUUGGCUUAGAAGCAGCCAUCAUUUAAAGAAAGCGUAAUAGCUCACUGGUCGAGUCGGCCUGCGCGGAAGAUGUAACGGGGCUCAAACCAUACACCGAAGCUACGGGUAUCACCUUCGGGUGAUGCGGUAGAGGAGCGUUCUGUAAGCCUGUGAAGGUGAGUUGAGAAGCUUGCUGGAGGUAUCAGAAGUGCGAAUGCUGACAUGAGUAACGAUAAUGGGUGUGAAAAACACCCACGCCGAAAGACCAAGGUUUCCUGCGCAACGUUAAUCGACGCAGGGUUAGUCGGUCCCUAAGGCGAGGCUGAAAAGCGUAGUCGAUGGAAAACAGGUUAAUAUUCCUGUACUUCUGGUUAUUGCGAUGGAGGGACGGAGAAGGCUAGGCCAGCUUGGCGUUGGUUGUCCAAGUUUAAGGUGGUAGGCUGGAAUCUUAGGUAAAUCCGGGAUUCUAAGGCCGAGAGCUGAUGACGAGUUAUCUUUUAGAUGACGAAGUGGUUGAUGCCAUGCUUCCAAGAAAAGCUUCUAAGCUUCAGGUAACCAGGAACCGUACCCCAAACCGACACAGGU
rnacentral:rRNA from 1 species